GGGCCUAUAGCUCAGUUGGUUAGAGCACACGCCUGAUAAGCGUGAGGUCGGUGGUUCAGGUCCAUUUAGGCCCA
rnacentral:tRNA from 1 species